rnacentral:rRNA from 1 species
AUUGAACGCUGGCGGCAUGCCUUACACAUGCAAGUCGAACGGCAGCACGGGAGCAAUCCUGGUGGCGAGUGGCGAACGGGUGAGUAAUAUAUCGGAACGUGCCCAGUCGUGGGGAUAACGUAGCGAAAGCUGCGCUAAUACCGCAUACGAUCUAUGGAUGAAAGCGGGGGAUCGCAAGACCUCGCGCGAUUGGAGCGGCCGAUAUCAGAUUAGGUAGUUGGUGAGGUAAAGGCUCACCAAGCCGACGAUCUGUAGCUGGUACUGACGAGGACGACCAGCCACACUGGGACUGAGACACGG